UACGAAGGUGGCAAGCGUUGUUCGGAUUUACUGGGCGUACAGGGAGCGUAGGCGGUUGGAUAAGCCCUCCGUGAAAUCUCCAGGCUUAACCUGGAAAGUGCAGAGGGGACUGUUCAGCUAGAGGAUGGGAGAGGAGCGCGGAAUUCCCGGUGUAGCGGUGAAAUGCGUAGAGAUCGGGAGGAAGGCCGGUGGCGAAGGCGGCGCUCUGGAACAUUUCUGACGCUGAGGCUCGAAAGCCAGGGGAGCAAACGGG
rnacentral:rRNA from 1 species